rnacentral:rRNA from 1 species
UACGUAGGGCGCAAGCGUUGUCCGAAAUUAUUGGGCGUAAAGAGCUCGUAGGCGGCCUGUUGCGUCCGCUGUGAAAUCCCGGGGCUCAACCCCGGGCCUGCAGUGGAUACGGGCUGGCUAGAGGCAGGCAGGGGAGAACGGAAUUCCUGGUGUGGCGGUGAAAUGCGCAGAUAUCAGGAGGAACACCGGUGGCGAAGGCGGGUCUCUGGGCCGAUACUGACGCUGAGGAGCGAAAGCGUGGGGAGCGAACAGG